GUCUAUGUCUCUCCCUCCAUUGGUCCUGGGCAGUUCAUUGGUUUACACCUCAGCCCCCCUUUUGUUGAGUGUUCUGUUUAGCAGCCCAGCUUGGUUUAGUUUUUUGAGUUCUGUUCCUCCACCAGUUCCUGAGUUUUUUGUUUGUUUGUAUUUGUGUUGUUAAAAAGGAACUGUAUCUAAUUCCUCAUUCUGUGGUGCAGCCUUUGGGUUCUGCCUCCCCAGGAACAUGACCCCACCCCCCCACCCCAAGGGAGUACACUGACGACGUCACCCUUCAAAGUUUUGGAAUUAGAAGAGAAAAUGAAUGCAUAGAAGGACUGAAAGUGAAGACUAGAGGUCCAACAGACCAUCCAUUAAAACCGACUGCCUGGACCAGACCUCAUCUUGUGAUGCAAAGGUGCAGAAGAACAAUCCAUCCUAUGAUGGACAGAGAUUUAUGGGGGAUGCUGUGUCAAAGUACUGAAACAGCAUAGAUAAACAACACAACUUCUCUGUGAGCACCAUCGCUGGGCUACAAAGUGAAAGCCAAGAAAGAGAUGGAAGGUAGGAUGCAUUUUUGAAGUGGGACAAACAGUAAUGAAGCCAAUUGGACAACCUGUUGUUUAAUGAAACCUGAGCUCAGGUUUGUAAAGAUGAGCUGUGGAGUUUUGAAGAAAUUCCUCAUUUGCCUGUUAGCAAAAACCAAACAUUUAUGUGUAAUAUGUGUUUCUUUUAAAACAGUUCUUUUUGAGCCUCUUUGUUGUAUCUUUUUGAUCAAAUAUCCAUCCAGUGUGUGAAGCUGUGUCUUCUUUUUUGGGCUCUUCACCUGCCCAACACACAACAGUUCUUUGAAGUUCCAGAGUUUCACUGAGUUCUUGUCAUAGGACAUAACUUGACUUUUGGGGAAGGAGGACGGUAAGAGUACACCUACU